rnacentral:rRNA from 2 species
UGGGGAAUAUUGCACAAUGGGCGCAAGCCUGAUGCAGCCAUGCCGCGUGUAUGAAGAAGGCCUUCGGGUUGUAAAGUACUUUCAGCGGGGAGGAAGGGAGUAAAGUUAAUACCUUUGCUCAUUGACGUUACCCGCAGAAGAAGCACCGGCUAACUCCGUGCCAGCAGCCGCGGUAAUACGGAGGGUGCAAGCGUUAAUCGGAAUUACUGGGCGUAAAGCGCACGCAGGCGGUUUGUUAAGUCAGAUGUGAAAUCCCCGGGCUCAACCUGGGAACUGCAUCUGAUACUGGCAAGCUUGAGUCUCGUAGAGGGGGGUAGAAUUCCAGGUGUAGCGGUGAAAUGCGUAGAGAUCUGGAGGAAUACCGGUGGCGAAGGCGGCCCCCUGGACGAAGACUGACGCUCAGGUGCGAAAGCGUGGGGAGCAAACAG